GAAGAGGAGGUGAAAGCAUAUCUCAAGGAUUCUUUGAACGCAUGUUCUCGUAUUGGAUAUAAGAUCAUUCUUCUUCCUUACAUUGAAUCGAACCAUUGGACACUGAUUGCAAUAUGUUUGUCACGUAACGAAGUCUACCACUUUGAUUCUUUGCGUAAAGGAACAAUACGGUCCUUACUAGUCAAAUCAUUGUUAAAUAGUGUGAUGAAGAAGCGUACUGCAUCUGGACUUCGACAAGGAAAACCUCCUGUUUGGUAUUUAGUCGAG